rnacentral:rRNA from 1 species
UACGAGGGGGGCAAGCGUUGUUCGGAAUUAUUGGGCGUAAAGGGCGCGUAGGCGGCGCGGUAUGUCUCUUGUGAAAUCUCCAGGCUCAACUUGGAGUCUGCAAGGGAAACUGCCGUGCUUGAGUACUGGAGAGGUGAGUGGAACUGCGAGUGUAGAGGUGAAAUUCGUAGAUAUUCGCAAGAACACCAGUGGCGAAGGCGGCUCACUGGCCCGGUACUGACGCUGAGGUGCGAAAGCGUGGGGAGCAAACAGG